CCUUUUUCUUAUUCUUUUUAUCCUUGCCAUCGACUGUCCUGGAAGGAGAAAAUUGGAUUUUUUAAAAUUAAGGGGCCGGCGGGGAGAUUUCAAGAUUUUGGGCAGAAUAUGAGAACAUGAGAUUAUUUUCAACCCGUCAUUCUACUAGCCGAAUUUAAUUAUACGUGGUCACUUGAUCUUUCGUCCUAAGGCAAAUUUUGGUGUUCGCGGCUAUAAUGAAUAAAAUUAGGAGACAUAAAGAAGAUAAUUAAGCAGAGCUUGUUAAGACUUUAAUAUCUUC